rnacentral:lncRNA from 1 species
CAGAGGCACAGGAACUGAAACUGAAGAAAAUAUCUGUGGGAUUCCACAGAGGCGGAAGCUGCCGCUGGUCUGCACGUGUGAAUUUUGCCAGCGCUUUUAGGUGGCCUAGAAUGAAAGUCUGGUGCUUGUUAAUAAUGAAAGUUGAACCUAAAAUUGGCCACGUUCGAAUUCCCAAUGCCUAGCAAAUUGGAGUAUGAGGACUUAAGGCAGAAAAGAGGGGCAAAACCAGGGAUUUUGAAGGCAGGAGAACUAGCAAGAAGAUCUGUCUCCUGCGCUGAUGUCAGUAGCGGUGUGCAGAAGAGUCCCAAGAUCUAUGGGAAUAUUCUUGUAAAACCAUCUCUGAAGCUUGGAAACGUGCAGUCAGGCUGGCUGAGGUGCGUCUGGCCUCAGGGAGUGGGGAAGAAGCCAUGGUCCUGUGCUGUAGGUGUAUGAAGAGGGUGCAGUGAUGAGGAAACACAGAGUGGGAGCCAUACCACUGAGCAUCCUGCUCGCUUCAGGAGACUCGAUAGGUCUGUAUAAGCGUCCAGUUCACAAGGUAUAGCUUUUUCUAAAUACUGUGAAGGUACAUGCACUUUAAAAUCCCAAACAAUUU